AUCGCUUCUCGGCCUUUUGGCUAAGAUCAAGUGUAGUAUCUGUUCUUAUCAGUUUAAAAAUCCUUGUGCUCCACUUUGCACUAUGCUUUCUCCUUUAGUAGAAUGCUUUCUUCCCAGUGUUCCUGAUGGGUUCAGAAGUAGAAGGAGAGGUCCCACACUUG
ensembl:snRNA U2 U2 spliceosomal RNA